CUUUCCUGACACAGUCAUGAUCUAAGAGACACAGCUUUCUUUCUACAGAGUGUUUAAGCAUGCCUGAUUUGUAUUCUCCAAUUAAAUUGUAGCCACAAACCUCCACAUGAGCUCUGGGCAGAUCAAGCUGUGACAGAGACGCUUUCUGCCAAGAAAACAUAGGCCUACGUUUCCAAAUCUUGGUGUUCUGGUUUUGUGACACCAACUGGUUAUUCGACCUCAAUCAAGUUUCUUGCUAUCCUAAGCCUCAGUCGCUGGUACACUCACCACUGUGAUGCCCAGGGAAGAUGACUUGGAAACCCAAGGACUUCCAUAAGAUCGUCCAACUUCUGACAAAAUGGCUUUUUGUGAGGACAGGAAACAUGUAAAGACCUCUCUUCCCUUUAAGAAAAAGAAAGGAAGAUGGAAAAAGUCAUCAGCUCAUGUACAGAGAAGCUGGCAAGUGAAUGCAA
rnacentral:lncRNA from 1 species